rnacentral:lncRNA from 1 species
ACUUAGAGAGGAGUUUACCAACAUCAAAAUAGUGCAAAAAUUCUCAUGCAAAAAUACUUUAUGCAUGAAAAAAUGUGAUGGCGUGAAGAGGAGAGUCCCACUUAAUUUGGACUCUAAGUUUUUAUUCAAAUUCAAACUAAUUUGAACUCAAAUUUAAACAAAUCAAUUUUUAAUUCAAAAAGACUCAGAUGAGGAUAUGAAAAAGACUUUUAGACAUGAGAAAAAAUCAUGUAAAAUAUUUCUCACGUAAAGAAUAAGAGGGCGC